UAGUAAAUAAGAUUAUACAACAGGGACAAAAAUAUAACAGUGGGAAGAAUCAUGGUUAUAUGGCUGAAUAAAAAUGUUUCACAUCACAAACUCACACACAUAUUUUUGUAUCACAAGUACUUGAGUAAACACAUAAACUAGAAAUUGGAACAAGUUCACAGGGUUAGGUACACAUAUAUGGUGAUAGAUAGACCACAGAUACACAGCAAGAACAAUUCAACUAGUGAGAACACACAAUAUGUGGUACAAUAUUUAUAAGUAUGAAACUGAACCAUUCACGGAUUGCAAGCAUUCAUAGAAUCUGAACAUUACAAGGCAUUACACAUCUCCUAUUACAGAAAUUCAGAGAAUAUAGAGAGGGAAAAAGAGAGAUAGCAGCAGUUUAUGGUUCAUAUUAGGGGCAGGAGGGGCGUUUGAGAGAAGGUGCAGCAAUAAAGAGGAGCAACGACAGUUUUGGGGAGAGGUAAUAGCAGCCAGCAGUUGGUUUAGAGAAGGAGCAACAACUUGGGAUUUUGAGAAGAAGAAGAACAUCAUCAGGUGGGGAAUUGGAAGAGAAGCAUCAGCGAGCAACAAGUUAGGAGCAGCAGGGGGCGCAAGAGAGGAGAAGAGAAGCAGCAGCAAGACAUGGGAGAAGGAGAAUAAGGAAGAGAACCAGAGGAAGUGUGGACGAGGGGAGGAGCAGCAGAGAGAGGGAGAGAGCAAUAGCAGGUGGCACGGAGAACCAGACACCCGUCUGGUCGGGCGCGCCAGGCGCGACGACAAAGUGGAACGCGCAAGGUGAUGGCGGUGAAGGCGGAGUGGUGGCUGGAUGGUGUGGUGCUGAUUGGGUGGCGCGAGAUGAUGGUGGAUGGAUGGGUGAUGUGGAGCAGCGAGGUCGUGGAGGCGCGCCGCCACGAUGGCCAGGCCGCGGCGGCGGCUGGAGGUGAGAGAAGAAGUGGUGAGGGGGAGAGAGAUGGAGAUGCCAGGCUCAAAGGGGAUCGGUGGCGAUCUAGGGAUUUUGUUCCCUUGCUCUAAUCUGCACCUUUUGCAUUUUAGCCCUUCUACUUCUCUUCUUUCAUCACAAUAUGAUCCCUCCUCUACUUUAGUUAGCUCCCUGGAAAUAUAAUCUUCAUCACACUUGGGUCACUCUUUCUCUUGUUCCAGCCCUUAGUAUUGUUCCUCUAUUCUUCCUAGGCAGAAUCUUGUAGUUUAUAGUGCCUUUGGCGCACUUUUCUGCAAAAUAAGCAAACAACUAGUCACAACCUCUUUUCUGAAUAUCAUUUGAAUAUUCGAUAAUCCUAAGCAAGAACCGAUAGACAUAUCUCAAUAAAUGGUGAAUUUGUGUGCCCAAAUUGUAUAUAAGAAAUGUGCUUAUCAAGUUCCCCCACACUUAAACUUUUGCUUGUCCUCAAGCAAAGGAAUAUGACAAGAACUGGUUAGUGAAUAGUGAACUGACUACAGGAUGUCAAGUGAAGUAGAUCUCUAAAUAGUGCAUGCUUCAGACUUGGUGAAAAUUAAUGGUUAGAGUGCUACAAAGUAGUAGGAUACUAGUAGACUAGGCCAUUUUAAACUUUUACAAUGAUAAAAGAAGAUUAGCAAGUUCAAAUGAUGAUUGUGCCAAAAGGUUCCUAAAGAGAGCAUGAUCCCAAAACAAAAGGAACUUUACUUGUGAUCGGAUCACUUAUUACCAGGAACAAAACAUUGCAGUUGAAAGCACUUAUUGUAUUUGAAGAAAGUAAUGAUAAUAUUUUGUCGAUCACACCAAAGGAACAUACCACCGAUCCUGAGAACAUGGUAUACACCUGGCUCGACCAAUUAUUAGUUAGUUUUUUUGUUUAUCUCCCCAAAGGAACAUACCACUGAUCCAGAGAACAUCGUAUACACCUGGUUCGACAAUUACAAUUUUAUUAGUAAUUACUCCCUGAGCUAACCCGAUUUCACAUGCCACCGAUCCAGGGAACAUGACAUGCUACUGUAGGUAGUCAGACUUAUUUAUUCAUUAUAAGAUAUACUUUUUACUUUUCAAAUUAACAAAAACAAGAAUCAUCACUCAUCCAUGUCUGGUUCACAUACUACCGAUCCAGGGAACAUAGCAUGCUAGUCCAUAGUGGUAAGUGAGUGCUCUGAAUGGGAAACAUUGGCACAAACUCAGCACCUGACACUUAAUGAUCUAGAUGUAUCAAGGUAAGAGCAGAAAAUGAUUGAGUUUUCUAGUGUACUAGGGAUUUGAGCACUCAAAACUAAUAACUUUCACUAAUUACAGCAAAGCAUGCAGAAUGUAGAUCACUAGUUUACAAGGCAUUCACAAAUCAGUUUACAAAUUCACAUCAAGCACCAUAUGUCAAAGGUAAAAUUCAGUGGGACAAUGUUUAAGAAAUGGCUCAAGCAACCCAAAUAGAAAUUGAUUUCAGCAUGUAUCAAUGGAUGAUAUAUUCAGAUUGGGUCAUGAAACAGCUCACCGGGCACUAUGAAGUAGCACUCGCUUGAUCACUCUCUAAGCUGCUGCUCUUCUUCUUUUGCUUCCACGUGCAAGCUCCAGCUUUGCUCUUCCUCAUGUGUGCUCUUUGCUUCUCCUCAUCACCAUGCCGUGAAUCCACCGGGGUCCCAAGGAAUGUCACCUCGAACCUGGUCGACAUGUAGUAAACGGUGCAAUAGAAAGAACCUGAAAGAACACUCCACAGAAGAGACAAUGCAGGAGGUAGGGAUAAUACCCUCCAAGUCAUCAAUCGAGUAUACAAUUACAUAAGCAUAGCUAUAAAGCACAUGUUUUGGAUGGUAGAAAUCAGCAAGGUCAACACUAACAUGAGGAUGAUAUUUAUCAUUAAGCUCAAGACUAGCAUGGGAAUGGUAUGUUUCAUUAAACAAAGGACUAGCAUGAGGAUAAUAAGUGUCAUCAUCAUAAAUGAGAGCGAUACCACCAACAUCGUAUGUAUCAUCAGAUCCAAGCAAAUGAGUUUUCAAAUCAAUCUUAAGUGAUGGUAUCAUGUAAUGCAAGGUAGUAGCAAACAAUUCAUAUGGAAACAUGUCAUCAAGAGGAUUAGAUAAACCUGCUAUAUCACGCUCUUGUAUGACGAUGGGCAAAUGAAUUUCUGGUUCUUCAUCUUCAACUACAGGAGCUUCUUUUACUUCUUCAGGAAGGAUAUACAUUUGAUCCUCAAGGUCUUCUACUUGAUCACUUGGGUAGUUGAGCUCUGGAUCAUCUUGUUCCUCGUCUUCUAGUUCAUCUUCUUCAAUCUGAGGUAUCUCUUCCUCAAGGCUCUUGCUAUCUUGCGCAGCUAGAUGUGACGGUGUUGGAACCUCACAUGUAUGACUAGAGAUCUUAGCAGCAAUCAGCUCAAGGAGGGAUGAGAUAGUACUGCCAACGUUGAUGUUCUUCUCAAUCUUCCUUACUUCUUCCACUAGCUCCCUCCCACUUUUGAUCUUCUUCAUUUCCUCUAGCAUAACCUUCCUAAUAGGAUCAUCUUCGACACUCCAAGUGAACUCGAGACUCAAAAGUGUGAGCUUGUCUAUGUCAUCGAACUCAUCUUGUGUGGGCACUUGCACAUGAGAUUGCACCACAGGUGCUGGAGUUGUUGGCAAAUAGAGGACCAUUUAACUCCAUUGGAAACAUCUCCUGGUGUUGUGGUAUAUGAGUAGGAGGUGAACAAAACUGUUGUGGUGCAUGGUUGUGGCUCUCCUCUUCAUACCUAAAUCCUUGCAUUGGAUAACUAGAAGCAAACGGUGAGAUCUCAGGGAUGUUGCUCCUAUAUGACAUAUUCUGGUUUUCAGGCCACCCAUGUGAGUAAUUGUUUUGGUAUGAGCUAUGCUCUUGAGCGAAGCUCAUGCCGAAACAAUCUGGAGGGUGAGAGUAACCACGCUGACAUUCAACGGGCAAAUGGCCCUGAAAUCCAUAAAUAUGACAUGUAGGAGCAACAUAAGGAUGGCCUUUAGAAUAAGGAUCAUAGGAGCUAGGCCUAUCCUCAAAAACUACUUCUCGCUGCCGAGCUAAAUCAUCUAAUUGAUGGGAAAUCUUACUUAUCAGUUCUUGAAUACUUUCCGUGCUAUUUGUAGUGUUUCUCGCAUAAGCCUGAUGAUCUGAAUAAUAAGCCAUAUUUGAGAAGAUACUAUAACCUGCAAAAAGGAAAAACAAACAAAAAGAAACUGACUAGAACAGGGGUUAGUUGUUAGAGAUAUAUCGGAAAUAUAUGGCACAAACUAGAAAAGGAAGAAAAACCUAGUCUAUAGCCUAACACGGUCACUCGACAGUAGUCCCCGGCAACGGUGCCAAAAUGAUCAUGGGUAAGUACAGUUGGCGAAUUUCGCCCAAUUAUGCGAGUGUCGUGUUCUCCUAAGGGACCAGGCAACGACGACUAUGCUCAGCUAAAGCUAGGUGACAGAAUAUAGAGAUGAUUACAAGGAAAUAAACCUAAACUAAACAAGGUUGUUCCCGAAGAUCUUCCACAAAGAAAAUGCAAAUAGCACUGGGAUAUUAAGAUUUUCUUCGCUUACUUUUUUGUACUUUCCUAUUACUUGAGAAACUAAAAUGCUAACACAAUAGGGAAACAACAUGACAUGAAAGAUUAUAUAGUAAACAAGAUUAUAUGAUAGGGACAAAAAUAUAAUAGUGGGAAGAAUCACGGUUAUAUGGCUGAAUGAAAAUGUUCCACAUCACAAACUCACACACAUAUUUUUGUAUCACAAGUACUUGAGUAAACACAUAAACUAGAAACUGGAACAAGUUCACAGGGUUAGGUACACAUAUAUGGUGAUAGAUAGACCACAGAUACACAGCAAGAACAAUUCAACUAGUGAGAACACACAAUAUGUGGUACAGUAUUUAUAAGUGCGAAACUGAACCAUUCACGGAUUGCAAGCAUUCAUAGAAUCUGAACAUUACAAGGCAUUACACAUCUCCUAUUACAGAAAUUCAGAGAAUAUAGAGAGGGAAAAAGAGAGAUAGCGGCAGUUUAUGGUUCAGAUUAGGAGCAGCAGGGGCGUUUGAGAGAAGGUGCAGCAAGAAAGAGGAGCAACGACGGUUUUGGGGAGAGGUAAUAGCAGCCAGCAGUUGGUUCAGAGAAGGAGCAACAGCUUGGGAUUUUGAGAAGAAGAAGAACAACAGCAGUUGGGGAAUU
rnacentral:lncRNA from 1 species